ensembl:snoRNA small nucleolar RNA SNORD71
AGGAUGAAAAUACAGAGUGAUCCAUCGGCUAAGUGUUUUAUCACGAUGCUGAAACUCAAAUAA